rnacentral:rRNA from 1 species
GCACCCGCGGUAAUUCCAGCUCCAAUAGCGUAUAUUAAAGUUGUUGCAGUUAAAAAGCUCGUAGUUGGAUUUCUGGGAGGGUGCCGAUGUCCACUUAACGUGUGCGCAGCGGCGCCCUCUCAUCCUUCUGUUAGCGUCUCUUGGCAUUCAUUUGCUGGUGGCGGGCUCAGAUAUUUUACCUUGAGAAAAUUAGAGUGUUUCAGGCAGGCUAGGCCGGAAUACAUUAGCAUGGAAUAAUGGAAUAGGACUACGGUCUCUUUGUUGGUUUGAGGGACUGCAGUAAUGAUUAAUAGGGAUAGUUGGGGGCAUUAGUACUUAACUGUCAGAGGUGGAAUUCUCAGAUUUGUUAAAGACUGACUUAUGCGAAAGCAUUUGCCAAGGAUGUUUUCAUUAAUCAAGAACGAAAGU